ensembl:lncRNA
AGGACAUCCCGCCUGGAGCUCCUGAUCUGCUCUGCAGAAGCAGCUUCCCUGUCCUGCGGCGGCUCCGGCUCUGCAGCCCCCAGGAUGCUCCCAGUGGAAGAUUUGCAGGAGAUGGAUGUGCACCCGGCUAUCUGCUUGAUCGGGGCUGUGCAGCAGCAGAGGGCAGCAGCUCAACACGAUGCUUCCUCCACCGCAGGCAACUACUUUUCAUCUUCCAUCAGCUUUUCCUACCGCUUUUUGCAGACUCCAGCCCUUCGACUAUGUCAGAGCCAACUCCCAAGGACUGCAUCUGCUUGUGGCAUAGGCUGCACAAAGCAAUCUGGGUUGCCAACGCUGUGGUGCUGGCUUCAAGGACAGUCUUGGGAGAGGAAACCAGCAGACCCAGCUGCCACCAGUGCUUAUCAGAGCUGGAGAAGGUACUGAUCGUAAGGAUUUAAAGAGGAGGAUUUGGAAUUAAC